rnacentral:rRNA from 1 species
AACGAACGCUGGCGGCAUGCCUAACACAUGCAAGUCGAACGAGACCUUCGGGUCUAGUGGCGCACGGGUGCGUAACGCGUGGGAACCUGCCCUUAGGUUCGGAAUAACUCACCGAAGGGGGUGCUAAUACCGGAUAAUGUCUUCGGACCAAAGAUUUAUCGCCUUUGGAUGGGCCCGCGUUGGAUUCGGUGGUUGGUAGGGUAAAAGCCUACCAAGGCGACGAUCCAUAGGUGGUCGGAGAGGAUGAUCAGCCACACUGGGACUGCGACAGGGCCCAGACUGAUACGGGAGGCAGGAGUGGGGAAUAUUGGACAAGGGGCGAAAGCCGGAACCAGCAGUGCGGGGUGAGGGAUGAAGGGUUGAGGGUUGUAAAGCUCUUUUACCCGGGAUGAUAAUGACAGUACGGGGAGAAUAAGCUCGGUCUAACCCCG